rnacentral:snRNA from 1 species
UUACUUCAGCAGUACAUACACUAAAAUUGGAAUGCUAUAGAGGAGAUUAUCAUGGCCCCUCUGCAAGAAUGACAUGCAAAUUCAUGAAGCGUUCUAUAUUUUU